CAGGUUUUGUGAAAUCACUGUAUGUCUCCAUCACGUAUUGAGUUUGCUGGAGAGUGCAAUUGUAGUCUAAGUGGGGAACGUAUGAAUCUGAAGCCGCCAAUACGGCCAUGGUAGAAAGAUCAACUUCAAAAACAAACUCACAAGGAGGAGUAUCCAGCAGGAGUAGCAGCAAUGUGGCAAGAAAUUCAAAAAGGGGCAGACAACAGAACACAUCACCUAGACGCUCUGAAGCUAAUCAACUUGUAUCCCAGAAAAGGUCCACCAACAGGAAUAAAGCAGUGUCGAGCAUUAAGCAACAGCAAAAUGCAAGGGUACGUCGAAACAUCGAAAACGACAAUAUCUGCCUACUGGAAAGGAUUGCUAAAAUAAUGAACCCUCCAAAAACUGGAAUGAUUUCAAGUGCUUAUAAUUUGAAAAGGUAGAAUAUUUGUUUUGUGUUCUGAAUGUGUCUUUUCCCAGUGUUUUCAGAUGAAAGAUACAAGUUGUUAUUUCUUGGACAAAAACUUUUUUUUUUAUUGCUGGAUGAGUAGGCCAUGAAUACUGCUUGCCCCUGAGAGCUGUAUUAUCAUGAGUGGCAAAUUUUUCCAGUUGCUGGCAAUUUUUUCAAUGGACUAAUAAAAUGCAGAAGUAUCCGUGCCAGAUGCAAUGAGUUUAUCAUCAGUAAGGACAAGCUUCCAGCUGCUGAAUAUAUUUAAAAUGGCAGCAACAAAUCUCUUGAGGUUAUCAGAAAAACAACAGGGUCAUUAUUGAGUGAGUAGAGCCAGUUAACAUUAACACGUAGCAUUUUACGAAGCAUUAGGUGGUCUUCACACAUUACCUACAAGUUGAGCUCAAAGUUGUCGAGUACUUUGCUACAUCCACAACAUAGCAACAUAACAUUUUGUCUUAAUGUCUUAAUCAUCCUAAAAGGGAAGACAAAUAGGAGGUUGGAGAAAAUAUGAUUGCCAACCAUUUAAGUUAAGAGAACCUGCUGUGCCAGGAAAAUGAAUGUCAUCGACAUCAGAUCACACAAUGACUAAAACCCUAACUUAACACCCACAGGCAGUUUGCACAUGCUUGAAUGUAAUGAUUGCAAUAUAACAUGAAGUAAUUAUCAUAGCUCAUGGGUCUCCUAUUAUACUUGGCAUUAAUUUCUCUUGCCAGAUCUUGGUUCUGCUUUUAUGCCCAGUUAAGAGCAUGUGUAAUGGAGAGGAUAAUAGGGAAAGAUGAUGAUUUUAAUCAUGGACAGUGUCAGAAAUUUGAAAAAAAAAGUUUCUGACCUCAUCUCAAAAUUGUUCAUUUCAAUAAUUGACAGAAUAUAUUUUGCUGCUUGGCCAAUAAAUUAGUUUGUCUGGAAAUGUAUGACAGAAGUGGGAGCUAUGCAGAUUGCCUAAUGUAUUAAUUCUGCUAAACUCCAACCUUCCAGAAAUGUAUUGAUUUUUGUGUUCCUUACAUUCACAUUGUACUGCACAACUUUACUUCUGUAAUCACGCCUCGGCUACAAAACCUUAUUUCGUUUUAUCACAUUUUAAUGUCAACUUUUCUGUUAUGAAUUUCUACACCCAAUUAUAAUGUAAAUUGGUCAAUUACGUUUCUCCAGUAUUUCAGUGUUGUAUAUACCAGCUCCUUGGCCAAACUGCAGAGAAGUCUCUACACGGCAGCCACUUCUAUUUCUGCUGUAAAUGUUGGUAUUUUAACUAUAAUGAAGCUAUAAAAUAAACUAUAAUGAUACUGUAAAAUCAACAUGUGUAAGAAUAACUAUGUCUACGCAUCUGGCCAAUUACCCCUUCCCUUUUUACUCCUUUUUGCCUGAAAU